rnacentral:rRNA from 1 species
GAUGAACGCUGGCGGCGUGCCUAAUACAUGCAAGUCGAGCGAACGGACGAGAAGCUUGCUUCUCUGAUGUUAGCGGCGGACGGGUGAGUAACACGUGGAUAACCUACCUAUAAGACUGGGAUAACUUCGGGAAACCGGAGCUAAUACCGGAUAAUAUUUUGAACCGCAUGGUUCAACAGUGAAAGACGGUCUUUCUGUCACUUAUAGAUGGAUCCGCGCUGCAUUAGCUAGUUGGUAAGGUAACGGCUUACCAAGGCAACGAUGCAUAGCCGACCUGAGAGGGUGAUAGGCCACACUGGAACUGAGACACGGUCCAGACUCCUACGGGAGGCAGCAGUAGGGAAUCUUCCGCAAUGGGCGAAAGCCUGACGGAGCAACGCCGCGUGAGUGAUGAAGGUCUUCGGAUCGUAAAACUCUGUUAUUAGGGAAGAACAUAUGUGUAAGUAACUGUGCACAUCUUGACGGUACCUAAUCAGAAAGCCACGGCUAACUACGUG